AGCAGCCGCGGUAAUUCCAGCUCCAAUAGCGUAUAUUAAAGUUGUUGCAGUUAAAAGCUCGUAGUUGAAUUUCGAGACCGGUUUAUUGGUCGUGCUUUUGCACGUACUGGUAUUAUUGGUUUCUCCUUUCUGACGAAUCUUAAUGCCAUUAAUUUGGUGUUUUGGGGAAUCAGGACUGUUACUUUGAAAAAAUUAGAGUGUUUAAAGCAGGCUCACGCUUGAAUACAUUAGCAUGGAAUAACGGAAUAGGACGUUUGAUUCUAUUUUGUUGGUCUCUAGGAUCGACGUAAUGAUUAAUAGGGAUAGUUGGGGGCAUUAGUGAUUCAAUUGUCAGAGGUGAAAUUCUUGGAUUUAUUGAAGACUAACUACUGCGAAAGCAUUUGCCAAGGAUGUUUUCAUUAAUCAAGAACGAAAGUUAGGGGAUCGAAGACGAUCAGAUACCGUCGUAGUCUUAACCAUAAACC
rnacentral:rRNA from 1 species